AUGGAGUCUAAGGAUGCUACAUUCUUUGAGGAUAUUUUUCCUAUGAGAGAUAUGCAAAGCACUUCUAGACAGGAAUCUGAGGAGACUCCUGAACCUGCCAUCCCUAUGGAAUAUUAUGAACAAACACAUGAUGAAAAUCCCGAGGAGGAUGACGAGGAAACCCUUGGUAGGGGCAAGAGAAAAAGGACUGCAAAGACCUUUGGUGAUGAUUUCUUCGUGUACCUCGUGGAUGAUACUCCCACUUCUAUUUCAGAAGCGUAUGCCUCUCCAGAAGCUGACUACUGGAAGGAUGCGGUCCGUAGCGAGAUGGAUUCCAUCAUGGCUAACGGGACAUGGGAGAUCACUGACCGUCCCUAUGGUUGCAAACCACUGGGAUGUAAGUGGGUGUUCAAAAAGAAGCUUAGGCCCGAUGGUACGAUUGAAAAGUACAAGGCUAGGCUUGUGGCCAAGGGCUAUGACCAGCAAGAAGAGGAAGAUUUCUUUGAUACUUAUUCACCUGUGGCUAGACUGACCACCAUUCGAGUAUUACUCUCGUUGGCGGCCUCACAUGGUCUUCUCAUCCAUCAGAUGGAUGUUAAGACGGCUUUUCUAAAUGGAGAGCUAAAGGAGGAAAUCUACAUGCAACAGCCUGAUGGCUUUGUGAUAGAUGGUCAGGAAAGAAAGGUGUGUAGGUUGAUAAAAUCUUUAUAUGGCCUGAAACAAGCACCUAAGCAAUGGCAUGAUAAGUUUAAUACAACUCUUACAUCUGUUGGUUUCGUUGUUAAUGAGGCUGACAAAUGUGUAUACUAUCGCCAUGGUGGGGGCGAAGGAGUUAUACUGUGCUUGUAUGUUGAUGACAUACUGAUAUUCGGAACAAACCUCAAAGUCAUUGAGGAGGUCAAAUCGUUUCUAUCUCAGAACUUUGAGAUGAAAGACCUUGGUGUGGCUGAUGUUAUCUUGAACAUCAAGCUACUGAGAGAUAAUGAGGGUGGGAUCACACUUCUGCAAUCCCAUUACGUUGAGAAGGUGUUGAGUCGUUUUGGAUAUUCGGACUGCACACCAUCUCAAACACCAUAUGAUCCUAGCGUAUUGAUUCGAAAGUCCAAAGGCAUGGCUAAAGAUCAAUUGAGAUACUCUCAAAUCAUUGGUUCACUGAUGUACCUAGCGAGCGCAACGAGGCCUGGCAUCGCGUUUGCUGUGAGCAAACUGAGCCGGUUUGUUUCCAAACCGGGUGAUGUACAUUGGCAUGCUGUUGAGAGAGUUAUGCGCUAUCUGAAAGGUACUAUGAACUAUGGACUUCACUAUACCGGAUACCCGUCGGUACUUGAAGGGUAUAGUGAUGCGAAUUGGAUCUCUGAUGCUGAUGAGAUGAAGGCCACAACUGGGUAUAUGUUUACUCUUGGAGGUGGCGCUGUUUCCUGGAAACACAUAAGAAUGAGAUUAAAAGCUGUCAGAAAAUUAAGAAACUCCGGAGUGAUAGCGUUGGACUAUGUCCAUACGGCUAAGAAUCUGGCAGAUCCCUUUACAAAAGGGCUAUCACGUGUUGUGAUAGAUAAUGCAUCGAGGGAGAUGGGUAUGAGACCCACAUGA
rnacentral:rRNA from 1 species